CUUACACCACCAUCUGAAUCACAUCUUGUCCCUCUAUACCUCCAGUAGUCAUCAUAUGAUACCCUCACUAACUUCAAAUCUACACGAUCAUCCCCAUUGUCGGAGUAUACACCACCUAACACUCAACCCUCAUUCCUAUUAACUCAAUUUUUGAAAUUUCAAAUCAUAGAUUCUAACACUAAACUUAAAUGCUUCCCAACCU
rnacentral:lncRNA from 1 species